AGUAAAAAAAUCAGUCAAAGCACCAACCCACCAAAGAAAGAAGAUAAAAACACAAGCUUACAAGCCAUUCUCUAUGACCCUGAAAUCCCUCCUUGUUCAAAACCUUGACAGCAACGGGGAGGGACUUGAGCCCAACCCUAACAUUCUCAUCAAUGUAACCCUUGUACACAGUGCCAAAUCCUCCCUCACCGAGAAUGUAAUCAGAGCGAAAACUCUUGGUAAUAGUCUCGAGCUCGAACAAUGUGAAAGCAAUGACAUGGGUGUAGAGGAGUGAGUUCUUGCCGGAGUCGUCAAGGUUGCGGGGAGUGGAGUGAUGAUCGCUCAGAUCUGAGACAGAGCGGCUGUGCUUCUUUCCACAAUUGGGAGCAGCAUCUUUGACAGACAAGGAAGAGAGGAUGUGGAGCUGCUGAACUGCAAAAGGAAGAGAGUGAGUGAUGGGGAAAGGGGGUGAGAAAAGAAAAGUGGGA
rnacentral:lncRNA from 1 species